rnacentral:lncRNA from 1 species
AGCGUGGCCCAGGCCCAAGCGGCCGCAAACCCUUUCUCAGGCCCGAGCCAGGAUCUUGUUCAGCCCAAUCCAGGAGCCCGAGAGCCCCGUUCUGCCACAAAUCUGGACCAUAGCUCCAGUUAUCUCCCUGCACAGUGCCUGUCAUCCUCUUUGCACUCGAGACUCCACAACGGAUGCUUCCGGUUGACUGCAUCCACAAUAGGUAAUAGGUUCUUCCUUCUUUUGGGCUUGUUUAUCUAAUUGUGCUCUAGUUCUCUUACAUGAUAGCCCCAUUUUGAAAAUUUACUUUACUGUCAAACUUCAAAACCUAGAACAUCUACUACAUCCUCUUCACCAUUUAAAUCUAGAUAUUAAAUUAGCACACCCUAGCGACAAAAUAUUUCUCAACAUCCAUCGAUCGGGUUACUUUAGGAUUAGAACGACUGUAGUACGUGCUUGCAACCUAACUUCUUAUAGUGAUUAAUUUUAUACUUUAAUUCCGAAGUAACUGAAGUACAAAUCGGUAACAUUUAUUUUUAAGUUACUUUUGUGAAAAUUUGCUGAUUUCCGAAUUCAUAGUAGGUUGCAUUAGUAGGUUGUUUUGCAUCACAUUUGGUCAGUUAGAGUUCACUAGUAACAUUGCAUUUCACAUCAUCAACUAGUGUUAGCAUUGCAUGCUAACCCAUAGCGGUAGGGAGUACUAUCUCGCUUAACCUAAAACCCCUUUAGCUACCAUGCAUUCCAAGGCUCUACAAGAUCUCAUGGAACGAUUCGCUGCCUUGCAAGCUGACCAUGAAGAAUUCAAGCGAGAGGUCCGUGCACUAGUGCAACAAUUAGGACUCCUGAACUGCCAACCCCAAUCGCAGCCUAUCCUGAGUUCGGUUUGGCCGCACCACCUGUAGGUCUUUCCCAUCCCCCCAGAAACCAACAUCCUCCUGAUUACCAGCGUGAUCUUGACGAACGGCUACUGCGUACCGUAAGAGUAUAUGCCCCCACCUUUGCUAGUCAACUAGAGCCAAGCGUGUAUCUUGAUUGGANNNNNNNNNNNNNNNNNNNNNNNNNNNNNNNNNNNNNNNNNNNNNNNNNNNNNNNNNNNNNNNNNNNNNNNNNNNNNNNNNNNNNNNNNNNNNNNNNNNNNNNNNNNNNNNNNNNNNNNNNNNNNNNNNNNNNNNNNNNNNNNNNNNNNNGUACAAGCUCAUUGGUACUGGCAUAAUAUUGAACGUAUGCGUGAGACCCAAAGGCUUUCUCGUAUCACCACAUGGGAGGAUAUGAAGAAAAAGCUGAAUGAGAAGUAUCUGUCAUUCUCUUACUGACAAUGCCUUAUGGAUAGGUGGUAGAAACUAAAUCAAGGGAUAAUAACCGUUGCUGAUUACAUUGCACGAUUUGAGGAGUUUCAUAUGAGGUGCGGUGUAAUUGAAGAGGAGACUGUUACUAUCUUUAGGUUUCGGGCAGGACUCCGUGAGGAGAUCCAGAAAGAAUUAAUCCUCUGAGAGAUUACCAUCCUUGGCCAAGCAUACCAGUUGGCUCAAGAUGUUGAUAGUUUCUUACGGAUCCCUGUAGUGAGGCGUACCGACCCUCAACCUAUGGCCCUAGGAGCUCGACCUAAUCAAAAUUAUCUCCCGCAACCCAGACAGAUUUCCAAUCCUCCUAACCAGCCUGGUCCUAGCCAAGCACCGACUAGGACAUCCCCGAUGCCUGUCCAGAACCCUUCAAGUGAUAAAGGAAAAGGCAUACUAGGUCCCAACCCUCCCUCUAGAAGCCAAAUCCAAUGUUUUAGGUGCCAAAAAUUUAGCUAUAUAGCAUCCCAAUGUAAUGCCAAGACCUACCUAAUGACUGAACUAGAAGUUGGGACCCAAGAGAAUGAAUGUGUCGAAGAAGUCUACGAGCCAAACAUUGAGGAUUUUGUAGAAGAUUUUGAAGACGAACAGACCGGGUUAGAGUUUAUCCAGGCUGAACCCCAAAAGAAGCCCACUGAUCUAAAUAACCAAAAUCCUAGGCUUCAUGUGGUUAGGUGUACUCUAGCUCAGACUAAGAUCGAACAAGAUUGGCGUAGGACCUUCCUGUUUUACACGCUUAUUAAGAUCAAUGGUAAAAUGUGCAAAAUCCUAUUUGAUAGCGGAAAUCACAUCAACGCUAUUGCUUCCGAAGUUGUCUCCCACCUCGGCCUGAAAUCUACCCCUCAUCCCAACCUAUAUAAGGUAGCUUGGGUAAAUAAGACAUCUAUUUCGGUAUCGGAAAGAUGCCUUGUCUCGAUUCAAUUCCUAUUUUAUAAAGACGAAAUCUGAUGUGACUGCAUUCCGAUGGACGUAGGUCAAGUCAUCCUAGGAAGACCUUGGCUAUACGAUAUGGACGUCACACUUCAUGGACGUUCGAAUUCGUGUAGCUUUAUGUUCCAGGGUCGGAAAAUUAUACUGAACUCAUUGCCUCCUAGAGAGCCCGCCUCUGAAAAGAAGAGUGCCACUCUACGAAAAGAUGAAUCACUUCACAUCAUCACUUCGAAAGAGAUAAUGAAGGAUAUCAAAAGCCAAUCACCUAUGUUUGCCCUUGUGGCUAGAGUCAUCAAUGUGUUGUCGAACCUUGAGCACCCACCGGUAGUUGUUCUCCUAUUGGAGGAGUUUCAUUCUGUUUUCCCUGAGGAUCUUCCAGAUACACUUCCUCCGAUGCGUGACAUCCAGCACGCAAUUGAUCUCGUUUCCGGAGCAUCCCUACCCAAUCUUUUCCAUCAUAAAUUCAACCCAAACGAGCACACUGAACUGAAACGUCAAGUUGACGAACUCCUUAUCCGAGUGUAUGUUCGUGAGAGCCUGAGCCCCUGUGAUGUACGUGCACUCCUCACUCCCAAGAAAGAUGGUUCUUGGAGAAUGUGCGUCGAUAGCCGUGCCAUCAAUAAAAUCACAGUUAAGUAUGAUUUUUUCAUUCCUAGGCUGGACGACCUCUUAGACUUUAUGUCUAGUGCUACAGUCUUUUCCAAGAUCGACCUGAAGAAGUGGAUACUACCAGAUUCGGAUUCGUCCUGGGGAUGAAUGGAAAACUGCCUUUAAGACCAAAGAUGGACUCUACGAAUGGUUAGUUAUGCCGUUCAGAUUAAUAAAUGCUCCUAAUACUUUUAUGAGGGUGAUAACGCAGAUUUUUCGACCUUUCUUGAAUAAAUUUGUCGUUGUGUAUUUUGAUGACAUCCUCAUAUAUAGUCAAACUCAGGAGCUCCAUCUCUCACACUUAAGGCAAGUCUGUGAUGUCCUUAGGAGAGAAGUUCUUUCGCAAACCCCCAAAAGUGUGCCUUCCUAACCGAUCACGUCGCUUUCNNNNNNNNNNNNNNNNNNNNAUGCCGUUCAGAUUAAUAAAUGCUCCUAAUACUUUUAUGAGGGUGAUAACGCAGAUUUUUCGACCUUUCUUGAAUAAAUUUGUCGUUGUGUAUUUUGAUGACAUCCUCAUAUAUAGUCAAACUCAGGAGCUCCAUCUCUCACACUUAAGGCAAGUCUGUGAUGUCCUUAGGAGAGAAGUUCUUUGCAAACCCCAAAAAGUGUGCCUUCCUAACCGAUCACGUCGCUUUCUUAGGGUUCAUAGUGUCUUCUAAGGGUGUUUCCGCUGAUCCGAAAAAAGUAAGCGCGAUAGUCGAUUGUCCUGAGGCCAAGACCCUAGCAGAAGUACGUAGUUUUCAUGGCUUCGCUACUUUCUAUCGCCGCUUCAUUAGGAAUUUUAGUUCAAUAAUGUCUCCCAUUACGGAUUGCAUGAAGAAAGGAGACUUUAUCUGGACUAAAUCGGCAUCCCAAGCAUUUAAUGAAAUAAAGAAAAGGAUGACCGAAGCUCCUGUUUUGCGCCUUCCUGAUUUCACAAAGGUAUUCGAAGUCGUAUGUGAUGCCUCUGGCGUUGGCAUAGGUGGCGUGUUAAGCCAAGAAGGUCAUCCUGUCGCAUUCUUUAGCGAAAAAUUAAGCGAUGGCAGGUUGCGUUAUUCUACCUAUGAUAAAGAAUUCUAUGCGGUAAUCCAAACUUUGCAACAUUGGUGACACUAUUUGCUACCGCAAGAAUUUGUAUUAUAUUCAGACCGUAAGGCUUUAAAGUAUCUCAACUUUCAAAAGAAACUGAACAUUGACAUGGCCAAUGAAUCGAGUUUCUUCAAGCCUAUACUUUUGUCCUGAAACAUAAAGCCGGAGUUGAGAAUAAGGUUGUUAAUGCGCUCAGUCGACAGAUCUUCCUAUCCGUAAUGAGCACUGAAGUAAUUGGUUUUGAAAGGAUCAGGGAACAAUAUACCACUUAUCCUAACUUUAGUGAAGUAUAUCUUAUCCUACGAGAUGGAGUAGAGAGAGAACAAAAUGAUUUCUUCCUACAAAAUAAUUACCUCUUUCGCUCCGAUCGAUUGUGUAUCCCUCGAACCUCAUUGAGAGAUUUCCUAGUAUGGAAAAUACAUGCUGGAGGACUGUCUGGGCAUUUCGGAAGAGACAAGACCAUUGAAAUGGUGGAGAGACGUUUCUUCUAGCCGAGUCUCAAGAGAGAUGUGACCAAAAUUAUUGGUCAAUAGGUUCUUAGGCAUGAGUCCUUUGAAGUGAUGAACGGUUAUAAACCUAAGCAGCCCAUAGAUUUGAUUUCCAUGUCUCAUCAACAUAGUCUCUGAGUCUGCACAAUCAUUUGCAUCACACCUGCAUUCAUUGCAUCAGAAAAUCAGCAAACGUAUUCACUCUAAUAACUUAAAGUAUAAAUUUCUUGCUGAUUUGUACAGACGUUAUAAAGAGUUGAAUGUAGGAGAUUACAUCAUGGUGAGAAUUAAACCUGAACGAUUUUCUUCGAAAACAUUCAAAAAGUUGCAAGCUCGUAGUGCGGGACCGUUCAAAGUCCUGAAGAAAAUCAGUUUGAAUGCUUAUGCCGUAAAUCUUCCUAAAGACUAUGGAAUUAGUGUGACAUUUAAUAUUGAAGAUUUAGUCCCAUACAAAAAGACAACAUUCAUUCCUUCUGAUCCUUUUGUUGAUACACCCGUCUUUGUUGAUCACCUUGACCCAUCACCUGCUAUUGAGCCUCCACCUCCAAAAUUUCAUGCACGCAGAGAACACAUAGAACAUAUAUUAGAUGAGCAGGUUAUAUCUACCAGGAGAGAAAGUUACCGACGUUACCUUAUUCGGUGGAAAGGUCGAUCCGAAUCAGAUGUGACGUAGAUUUCGCGAGCCAAGUUGCAGCGCC